AGGAAAGCUUCGUAGUGGUCAAUUGGUGGCAAUAAAGAUAUUGGGUAAGUCUAAAGCUAAUGGACAAGAGUUUAUCAAUGAAGUAGCUACUAUUGGAAGAAUUUACCAUGUUAAUGUGGUUCGCCUUAUUGGUUUUUGUGCUGAGAGAUCGAAACGUGCUCUUGUAUAUGAAUUCAUGCCUAAUGGAUCUCUUGAUAAACAUAUAUUUUUACGAGGAGGCAGUUCCCCAAUAAGCAUUAAAAAAAUGUAUGAAAUUUCCCUUGGAGUCGCUCAAGGAAUUGAAUAUCUUCAUCGAGGUUGCAACAUGCAGAUUUUGCAUUUUGAUAUCAAGCCACAUAAUAUUCUUCUUGAUGAAAGUUUUAUUCCAAAAAUUUCAGAUUUUGGACUUGCCAAGUUAUAUCCACCAAAUAAUGAUGUUGUUUCUCUCACAGCAGCAAGAGGAACUUGGGGUUAUAUGGCUCCAGAGUUGAUCAACAAAAAUCUUGGAGGUGCAUCUCAUAAAGCUGAUGUAUAUAGUUUUGGGAUCUUAUUGAUGGAAAUGGUUGGAAGAAGAAAGACCUUGAAUGCAUCUGCUGAGCAUCUAAGCCAAAUUUACUUUCCUACAUGGGCUUAUGACAAACUCAGUGAAGGAAAGGAUGUAGAAUUGGGAGAUGUUUCAGAUGAGGAAAAGAAAAUAGCAAAUAAGAUGGUUCUAAUAGCACUUUGGUGUACUCAAUUGGAACCCAUUCAUCGUCCUUCAAUGCAUGCAGUUAUAAAGAUGUUUGAAGCAGAGUUUGAAACCCUAGAAAUGCCUCCAAAGCCUUUACUUUCACUACAAGACAAGAAAAAAGAGGAUAUUGAAAUCAACGUAAAUGCUAUAGGGCCAACAAGUACCCCAGCAGGUGAUUGUAUGGAUUCAGUUAGUUUGGUUGCAAAUGCAUAUUAAACUAUGUUUGUUAUUAUCCAACCAUGUAAUGUUAUUGAUAAAACAAAUUAACUUAUCUAUAAUUUGUAAGUAUUUGUUAUGGAUGAAUCACAAUGAUUUUAAUUCAUGG
rnacentral:misc_RNA from 1 species